ensembl:lncRNA
UGGGCUUCUAAUGAUUAGAUGUCUGUGUCUGAACUAGUCAUAUGAAUUUCUUUUCAUAGACAGAAGAGAAAAAUGAACAACUUCUAAGAGAAUUGCUGUGGUCAACCAACCUCUCCCUAAUCCAAAAGGAUGAGAAAGAAAGAAUAUUCUAGUGAUGCUGCAUGACUGCGAAACAUACAAGCAAAGCCAGAAGAAAUGCACAAGGAAUCAGAGACAGUCAAGGAAGGAGACCAAACUAUUAAUGGACAGUUUCAAGGCCAAACAAAAUGUAAAGACAUAAAUUUUCACAGUAGUUCAAAAUCAUAAGCUCUUCAGGACAAGAAACCAUUCUUUUGUUAGAAUAUAUUUAUGCUGUAAUUAUGUAGUUUAGGUAUUCUAUAUGUUCAGCUUCAGUAUAUCACAUAUCCUUUCUGUAACUGUAUUUCUAUUACAUCAAUAUAUAACAUCUCUUAAAUUGGGUCUCUCAUCCAUGAAUAGAAAUUCAAAAGCUUUCAACUAUACAGCAGAUAGGCUUAGAGAAAAUGAGAGAAGAGGGAGAAAAAUGCAUCCUGCAUACACUAGCUGACAAAUUUCUAAAUUAUACAAUGUUUGAAUUUAUCCCUAUCUAAAGACUGUUCAGUUUACGAUAGUUAUGAAAUUGAUUUGAAAAUAUUUUGUGCUAUCAUUUAAGCUCAUCUAAAGAAACGAACUGUUGAAUGUCUUUGUUGCUCCAGAAUCUACUGGAUUUCUAGGGAUACUUCAUAAAGACAUUGAAAAGUGCGUGUGGUGCAGCUCAACAUUUAAGAAGUUCUAUGCGGACCUGUAGAUAUCCUGUAUGUCAAAGAAGAACUCCAGAGAUCUAAGUGCAUUGUAACCCAAAACAGCAAUGAGUGAGCUAAAAAUGAGUAAAGAGUGACACAUUUAAUUUGAAGCCCUGUUGUGCAGUGCCACUGAACCAACUGCUGCAAACAACAGGUCUGGCACUUGGGUCCUUCAGAUAUCCAAGAUCUGCCUACCUACUCAAUGAGGCCCAAGACAUGUUCAAAUCAGAGAAAAAUGUGACAUUUAAACAUAUGAAUGGCAUAAUAAAACCUGCUAUUGCACCACUAGGAUGCUUGUUUUCUGUUACUAAUAACCAGCUCAACCUGUAUAUUUGUAGAGUUACAUGCCCUCCUAGAUCUUAAUAUAACUUGUCCCAUUCAGAUAGGAAUCAGCCAGUUGCUUUUUUCAUUAUUCUCUCCUG